GAGAAUGCUCUGGGCUAGAAGAGCUAAUUCCCAGGAUGACCAGCAGGAGGCGCUGCAUCUAUAUUUGCCUCCAAAUUAAUCAAUCCUGCACUGGCAAAGGGGACAAGAUGUCUUAACAGAUGUUUUCUUUAAUAUCUCUGAUUCGAGUCAUCCAAGUGGACUGUCCUGGAAUUUACAUAAGAAAACAGGUUUUCCAAAACUGAAUAUGUUCUUUCACAUAUGGUAUCCAAUUGUAAUUCAAGAAAUUGGAGUGAGACAGA